rnacentral:siRNA from 1 species
UCAUUUUUCUUGUCGAAUUAA